rnacentral:lncRNA from 1 species
AAGUCAGAGCAACAAAGUCUCCCUUUCCUUCCAGAAUAAUUAUACCUGGGUGACUUCUAAAGUUACUGUGGAAUGCUGAACCGCUUAUCUGCUGUAAUUUGUUUUGCUACUUUUACUUCACUGUACAUCUGGUUCCCACUCCUACUGUUGCUGGCUGGAUGUUGUGAGCACUUUGUAAUGCUGUAAAUGCAAGACGUGAAUAUAUUACACAUACCACUGGAAUUGUAAACAUUGCUCUUUUUUCCCCCCUUUUUCUUCAGCAGCACCAAGAACACAAGAUACAGUAGCAACUAUGAUAGCCAUUGUUCUCAAAGCAAAACUUCUGGGUUGACUUUGGAGUGAACUCUUGCUGCUUUGCUUCUGGCACAUGUUGACAGAUAACACAAAAGUGGAGGGGUGACAACAACCCACUUGGCUUGCCCUGCAGCCAAGAAACAGCCUUUCACCCACAGUCCACCUCAUUAUCACCUAGGAAACAGCAAGACACCCACCGUCCUCUAGCAAAGAUCCUGAUCGCCUCCUAAGGCAACUGCUGGAGGACCCGCACACCCUUUUGUUUAGCACAACGACAAAACAUCCGCCUAGAUCUUAAGGAUCCAUGUUUACCAACACAGCGGAGAAACCCACGAGGGAGGAAAGGGAGAGAGAGAGGAGACAAAGGGAAGGGAGGAAGACUGAAGAGACAAAUACACAAGUCACGUAGGCAAAGGUAGAGACACACACACUGAAGCCUGCGUCUCUUCUGGACAGCUGCUACACCCCUCGCUUCUAGGCGGGCGAGUCCUUAGGAGCAGCGAGGGAGAAAAGCGCCUGUGCUCGUAAGCAGAGGCCGGGGAGCGAGCUCGCCUCUCGUCCCGCUUCUUUCCCCGGCACAACUGGGAGCGCGGGGCCAGGAGAGCUACAUACAGCUGAGCGGCGGGGUGGGGCGCAGAGCGAGAGACCGGCAGAGUACAUUGCACCGAACUCUCCCGACUUAGCAUCCUGGGAAAGAUGAUGAGGGCUGUCUCCCUUCACAGAUAUACAAAGUUUCCAAGAAAACCGUCCGGCGAAGGACGAGGAAGAGCCCCCGAGACGCCCUUCCAGAUCCCUGGCCGAAAAGCAGGACCGGCCGCGGCCGGCGCGCGAGAGUUCCCCCUUCUGCUUCAGGGGAAGCCCCCACGGGGCCCAGCCCAGAGACGGACCGGCGGGCGGGAGGNGAGGCUUCGGAAGAGCCCCUCCCGAUUGCAAGCGCGAGAGAGCAUCCCGCCUCACCUUGGGUCUGUAGAGCCACCUCCGGACGGCAGCGGGCAGCAUGGCUCGCACCCGGCGCUUCGCAGCCCGAAGGAGCGCCUGCACUCCACGGCUCCUCUCCCGGCGCACCUGAGCCCGCUGCGCCCUCCGCCCGGGACCGACGCCGGGCCCCACCUCCGAGGCGGGGCGAGGGCUCCCGAUUUGCCAGGCCAGAGACAUGGGAGCGAGCGCCGGCACCGCCCUUCGCCACCCGGGCGUUGGAGAGCUUGGGCGGCGGCGGCGGCGGCGGGGAGGGCUGCCUCGCCCAGGGGACUUCCCAGGCUUCGAGCGCCUUCGGAGGUCUCCGGCCAGCUUGGGUGGUUUGAGACCCCGGGCGGCUCCCCGGCGGACGUGCGAAGGCCCUUGAGUGCCAGGAGUCGGGGGUGGGCGGGACGACGCGCGCUCCUCUCCCCGCAGGGCUUACUCUGUGACUUUAGGAAGCGAGGGAAAGCGCCGCCGCCUCACGUCUGGCCCCUUCGGCCUCUCGGCGCCUGA